CUCACGUGUUGUCCAUUUCGGCCUUGGACCACUCUUGGAUUCAUAAGUGUUUCAUCGAAGCGGCCCUAUACUUCACACUUACAUAGGUGAUCUCCUAAAAGAAUAUCCUGUCAUAUUCCACCUUAAAAGGUCAUAGGAAUCAUUAAAAGUCACUUGACUUACCCUUACCACACUCGACAGGUAGCACUUGGAUUAGGGAAUGGUAGGAAUAAUUUUCCAAGUGCACAAUUUGAAUUUCCAUAACUUAGUUUGCCCAUUGAACCAAGAUUUUGGGAUCUCCAAUCUACAAGGUUGGGUUACCAUCAUGGAUUUUC
rnacentral:lncRNA from 1 species